rnacentral:tRNA from 1 species
GCUACGAUAGUUUAUCUUCAAAACACUAGUCUGUGACGCUAGAGACGGAACUCUCCCCGUAGCU